rnacentral:sRNA from 1 species
GGUUGGUAUUGUUGUUCUUAUGGGGUUGCAAGCCCCUUCAGCUCCAUCAAUCCUUUUGCUACUUCUUUAAAAAAUGCUAGAUACAAUAGGGUCAUGUUGCCAUACAUUAAGUCUCUACACUUUCUCCUCCUACACAUCUACUACUUCAAGAUUCUCUUAGAAGAGUUCUCUCAACCUCAUCACAGUGAACGGUCUUUUGCAGAGCAAGUGUGAUUUCAUUAUCUCACAUUUCUAGCUUCACUCAUGUCUUAGACAGUAGAGAAACUAAAGGAUAUGUUAAUUAGUACAAAGUUCUAGCCAAGGACAGCCAGGUAGAUGAGCCCAGUUUGUUCUCUUUUGUACAGUUUCGCAUUUCUAUAUAUGCCUAUUUGUAUGUAUGUGUUUCAUUUUCAUGCUGUGUGUUUUGGCACUUUACUCUGUAUCCUGACUGCAUCCAACCUAAGAAGGAGACUCCGAGUGUAGCACAGGGAACAUAUUGUAAUCAUGCUAUGACAAUGGCCAAUUCAGCAGCUACUUCUCUAAAAGGUGACUAGAUCUCAGAAGCAAGCAUGAAAACCCUCCCUAAAAUGUCAACAAUACCCUAGAGGACAAUGAGGCUUUCUAUGGGAAAAGCCAAUUAUCUGCCUAGGAUAGAUGACAUGGGGAUGUAUGUCUGUCUCAGCUCAUCCCCUUCAUCAGACUAAACGUAGCAAGAAAAUUCAGGCUUAUAACUUGGAAAAUGUCACCUGUGGGUGAAGUAUUCUUUCCAUAAAAACACCAUGAGUGCUGGGCUUGGUGAUAUACUCCUAUAAUCCUACAACUGAAAGGAGCAAAGCAGUAGGAUUACAGCACAGCCUGGGUUGCAUGAUAAGGACCUGUCUAAAUAAUGGCUGAUAUGUAUAACUUUUACUUAUAUUUGCUGUUCUUUCUUCGGAAUAUCCCUGGACCUCUGAAUCCCAUUUGGCUCAACAUCAUGUCCUAAACUCAACUGAGGAACACCUUUGGACAUUUGUAUCUGGAUUGCCCUCAAGCUUGUUUUUUUGGUAUUCAUUAUGUAGACCUCCAUACUGUAAUUACAGAUGUUUCUAACCAGAACUGUCACCUGGUAGUUCUGUCAAGAGGAGCAGCCAGUCAACGUGCCACCACAUUCCAGCAACUUACCUAGGAGCUGACCACAAACCAAAGUUCCAAGAUCACCUGGACACAAAGAAUCACCUCCUCAUAUUUCUGUAAAUGCUAGUUUAGCUGUACUUGUAAUCCACACUAUUUGGGAGGCUGAGGUAGGAGAAGUACUUAAGUCAAAGAACUGAGUUGACCAUCCUGAACAACAUAAUGUGACCCUAUCUCAACCCAACAAAACAUCAGGAGAGAAAUCCACAGACUUUCUAGUGAUCUUGCUGAGAAAACAGUUUUUAUUGUUAACUGUUAAGGGAUAAUGCCAUUAAUAUUUUAAAUUGAUGCUAUUUUGUUAUUUAAGCCACAAAAAUAUUCAUUCUGAACAACACACUUUCUUGGCUGAUCUUUUGGAAUGGGUGAGGUACUUGUAUGCACACACGUGAUUAGAUAGUAUUUAUGGCAUUUUAGACUGCUACUGUUAUUUGUAGUGUAAUGAUGGUGUGUUACAUAAUUUUUACAUUUUUCCCUAAGUAAUGUAGGAUUGGUAGAUUGGAAUUUAUAGAUAAGAUGGUGGAUUAGAUGCUGCAUGUGAGUCAGUGGAUAAAAAAAUGUGAAGAUAAAAACAUAAUAAAUCCUAUUUAUAGAUAAGAGAAACUAAGAGAAGUAAAGAAAAAUAAGGCAAAGUCAGCAUUUCUCCACAAUGAACCAGGCCCACAAGAAAUCAGCUGUAGUAUUAUUCCUGCUGACUGGCAUCAUCUGUAGCUGCCAGCAGUGUAUUCUCAAAAGUUACACCAUGAGAGCCCAAGACGGCCAUUCUGGACUGUGUAAAUACAACUGGAUGAUGGUUAAGAAUCUAUACACAAAACAGGUUGCAGCAUUGUAGGUGUUAGAGUGAGUAGCAGAAAUGUGAUUGGAAAACAUGAAGUUGAAGAUCACUACAUAUUAUUAAAGGGAACACUGCUCUGCUGAAUAUGCUGGAAGGUUCUGUGAGACAGAUCAAAAUGGGUGUGCUUCCAGCCCUUAUCACAAUGGGGCUGUGUUCUAGGAUAAAAGAUCAAUAGGGACACAUUGUAGGCCUGCCUUCCUCCUUCAGCAACUUUGGAUCCUCAGGCUGUUUGAAUCUGUCGGCCUGAAUUCACAGACACAAGCCUAGCAUAACUGUCCUCUGAGAGGCUGACUGAAACAGAUGCAAAGACCUACAGCCAAACAUUAGACUAAGCUCAGGAAGUCUUGGGGAAGAGUUGAGGGAAGGAUGGACAAAUCAGGAGGGGAUAGAUACUCCACAAGAAGACCAACAGUGUCAACUAACUUAGACUCUUGGUGGCUUCCAGAGACUGAACCACUAACCAAAGAGCAUACACAGGUUAGACUUAGGCCUCCUGAACAUAUUUAACAGAUGUGGUCUUCGUGUGGUCCCCUCACAACUACAGCAGGGUCUUUCCCUGACUUUGUUGCUUGCCUGUGGAUCCUGCUCCCCUAACUGGGCUGCCUUGUCUGGCCUCAGUGGGAGAGAUUGUACAUAGUCCUGCAGUGACUCGAUGUGCCUGGGUUGGUACCCAGGGGUCCUCCCUCUAGUCCUGCAGUGACUUGAUGUGCCUGGGUUGGUACCCAGGGGGUCCUCCCUCUAGUCCUGAAGUGACUUGAUGUGCCUGGGUUGGUACCCAGGGGGUCCUCCCUCUUCUCAGAGGAGAAGGGGAAUGGGGUCUAGGGUCAUAUGAGGGGGAACUGAGAGGAGGAGAGGGGGAACUGAGAGGAGGAGGGGUCUACUGUUGGGAUAUAAAGUGAAUAAAUAACCUAAUGGAAGGAAAAUAUUGUUAACAUUUAUGUACCAAAUAUCAGGUACAAUUGGUAGGAGAUUUCAGUACUCUCAUCUUUAGGCACUUAUUUCAAACUAAAAGUUAACAAAGCAGCAGCAUAAGUAAAUAAUAUGAAAGAGAAAUACCAUUUAACAGAUGCAGAAUAUUCUGUCCAGUAAACAAGGAAUGCAAUUAUUCCCAGCAGCACAUGGGUCCUUGUUUAGAGCUAUUUACAUUAUGGGACACAAAGCAAAAUCAAAGUAAUAACAUUUCAGCAGAUAAUAGUAGAAUAAAGGAAGCAACAUAAAUAGUAUAAAAUAUAUUUUUGAGUAAACAGUGGGUCAUUGAGGAAAUCAAGGAAGAAAGUUCUUGAAAUCUUAUAAAUAAAUGAAAAGUAUGACACACCAAAGCUAUGGUGUACAAAAAGGUCAUUCAUAAGAAGGAUUAUAAUUAUAAGUGCUUACAUUAAAAAAUCAAUGGGAUCACAAUAACCCAAUAUAUACUUCAAACAACCUAAUUAUACACCUUAAGGUUCUAAAAAAAACUAGAAGGAAAACUCACAGGACAUGAAUGACAAGAAGUAGAGAUAAUAAAACAUAGGAAAUCAAACAAAAAGUUAGUUAUUUGAAAAGGUGGAGCAAAUCUUAAAGAAAAAUAGAUAAUAUCCAAAUUAAAAAUACAAAUGAAAAGAAAGCUAUUAUGAAAGAAAGGCUCUUAUGAAAUCCAGAGGGACAUUAGGGAAUACUUUGAAAGCUUAUAGUCUAAAAAGCUAGAAAACUGGGGCCAGGGAUGUAGCUCAGUGGUAGAGGGUUUGUCUGGCAUGCUCAAAGUCGUGGAUUUGAUUCCUAGUAUUUUUAACACAACAAAAUUUUACAAAACUUUAAAAAAAUGGACAUAUUACUAAACUCAUGUAACCCGCUAACACAAAUUCAAAAAGACAAGAAUAAUUUCAAGAAAUGUAAAAUAAGCAGUGAUAUCGAAAUCUUCACACAUAGAAAAGUCAGGGGUUGGAUGGAUUCACUACUGAAUUCUAACAAAUCAUUAAGGGAGUCUAACAUGAAUAAUUCUUAAACAACUUUCGUAAAAUAGAAAUGGAGGAGACAGAAUUAAACUUAUUCUGUGAAGCUGGUAUUAUCUUGAUGCCACAAUUUCCCUGGUGAGCAGAUGUAAAAAACAAAAAUCUCAAAAUACUUGUAAACUAAACUCAAGAACACGCUAAGAAGAACAUAUACGACCACCUAAUUGGUUUCAUACUAAGGAUGCAAGUUUGGUUUAAAGCAUGCAAAUUAGUUAAUGUAAUGCACUAUAUUAAUAGACUUAAGAAUCACACGAUAAUUUCCUUAGACCCAGAAAAGCCAUUUCAAAGUUUAACAUGUGUUCAUGAUAAAAAGUCAUGAAUCUAGUAAUCAAAGGAACAUAUUUCAACUUUUAAAAAAGACUACAUACGACAAACCAAUAGUUAGCAUUCUAUUAAAUGGAGACAAACCAAGACCAUUUACUCUAAAAUCUGGAGUAAUACAGUGCCUACUUUUACCACUCUUAUAGAAUAGAGUGUUUGAAGCUUUACAGCAAAAAUACAAGAGAAAAAUGUAUAUAAAUAGGAAAAGAAGUCAAAUCAUUAUUUGCAAAUGACAUGAGCUUCUACUUAAAACGCCCUCCACACCACAACCAAAGAUUCUUAGAUCUGACACUUUCAGCACUCUUUGUUAGAAUAUAAAAUGAUGUAGUUACUGUAGAAAAUAUUUUGGUGAUUCCUUAAAAAUAUUUGUAAAAAUUAUAUAAUCUAGCAAUUCUAUUUGUGAAUAUUUACCCAGGAAGAUUGAAAACAGGAUCUUCAAGAGAAAUCUGUAUAUCUCUAGUCAUAAAAGCUUUUAUUUACAACAGUAAAAAGGUAGAAGUAUGUAUGAGUGGAAGAAUAGAUAAAUGAGGCAUAAUUAUAUAGUAGUGUCUUAUUUACCCUUUCGAAAGGAGGGAUAACUUACAGCUGCUGUAUGUGGAUAAACUUUGCAGAUACUGUGGUAAAAGAAAUAAGCCCACCAAAAAAUGAUUUAGUGAAUGACUUCACUAAGACAAAUAUCUGAAGUAUCAAAUUCAUAGAAAAAGAUAUUAAUAGAAUAGUGGUCACCAGGGUGUCUUAAUCACUGUUUUACUGCUAUGAAGAAAUACCAGGACCAAGGCAACUCUUAUAAAGGAAAACAUUUAAUUGAGGCUGGCUUACAGUUUCAAAGAUUCAGUCCAUUAUCAGCAUGUAAAAAGCUUUGCAGCAUGUAAGCAGUCAUGGUGUUGGAGAGGAGCUGAGAGUUCUACAUCUAGAUCUGAAGGUGGCAGAAAGUCAGAAAGAAACUUGACCUGGUUUAAGUCCUUGAAACUCCAAAGCCCACCUCCUCCCCCAUCCCCAGUUAGAUAUACUUCCUCCAACAAGGCCACACAUACUCAAAAAGGGCACACUUAAUCUCUCUCAAGUAGUGCCACUGCCUAAUGAACAAGCAUUUAAAAAUAUGAACAUAUGGGGGUGUUCUUAUCCAAAGCAUCACAGUCAUGGUGAUGGAUAAAAGAAUUUUUGUUGAUUUUGUCACUCUCUUCCUCUUCAUUUUUCUCAUUGUUGUUCUUGAUUUUUUUAUGGACAAUAGAGAUUACUUUUGCAACAUGAAAACAUUCUAUAGAUCAAUUUCCCACAGUGUGAAUAUAUUUAUUAUGCCUAUACAUUUUUAAAUGUUACAGAUGUUUUCUAUACACACACAUUGCAUUUGUCACAUACCCUAAAAUUGAAGUCACUAGAAAAACUAAUUAAAAAUAAAAUUAUAUUGUUGGGUGACUUUUCUUGGAGGAUAUAAAGAAAUGCCAAUUUAUCCCACAUAAGGUAUCACGUAUACACUAAAAUCCUGACUCCACCUAAGCUCCAAGUGGUGCAUCAGGAAAUUGAUUGAAGUUACUUAUAAGAACAUGGGUAACUGGGCAGCUAUAUCAUCAACCAAGUUCAACCUCAGUGAGUGGCCACUGCAUGGAUGGUUUGGGCAGCUGAUUCACUGAAUAAUCCUACUCCAGCAUGUGUGACCACUCACAGAAGAUGCCUAACUAGAGUUCUAGCUUUAGUCAUCCUCCCCCUUCUAUAUUCUCUAGAACUUCCUAAGACCACAUAUAGGUGAGAGGUCGGGAGUAGUGGAUAAUGAUAGUGGAUUCCUUCUAAGAGUUAGUGUUAAUGGUCCAAUUAUAAUUUUUAUUAACCCAGCUAUUAACAGUUUAAUUUGCUUAUUUUGUUACUAUGACUGCAGAGAUAAGCCAUUCUAUAGGUCAUCACAGCGAUCUAGGCUUCAUGAUGGUGACAAUCAUGUUACACGUGUAGAAAAGAACUCUACUACAGCACAGUACUGUAUUGAGAUGUAAUUAACAACUAGAGUGUUCCAUUUUCUUCAUACUACUGUGGAUAUAAACCAGGGCCUCACCAAUGCUAAGCCAUCAGUUGCCACUGAGCCACAGCCAGAUCUUAAUAUAAUAUUUUGAUACACAUGUCCUUUAUGAAAUAAUGUAGCCAAGCUAACUAACAUAUGCAUCACUUCACAUACUUUCUAUCUGGGGUAAGGAAAAAUUAAGAAACUUACUUUAGGUAAAAUGGUAAAAAUAAAAGUGAAUAAUUGUAAAAUAUAUUCUAUAUAAAUAUUAGCUAGACUGGAGUUUAAGAAAAAUAUACUUAGUUUAAAUUAUUUAAAAAUUAUAAAGAAUAUUAUAGAUUGAUAAAAGUGAAGUCCAUCAAAAUAUACAGGAAUUGUAAACAUAUAUACACACCAUAAAACCCCAGAGGAAUAAAUAAAUGAAAUAAACAGAACUGAGGGGAGAGAAAGAUCAGUCUACAUUUACUUUUAUCCAUUUUUUAAAUUCAUAGAGCUAGAAAGAAGAUAAAUAAGGAAAAGGCAACUCCAGACAUCCAUCCGGCAUGUAGCACAUACACCAUAUACCACAAAGAAUAUACAAUUUUCUCAACUGCACAUAGAACAUUAUUCAGAACAGAUUGCAUGUUAGAACAAAAGAGAAAAAAUAAGUUAAAAUAUCCUAAAAAAAGUAUGUUUACUAAAACUACAAGCCUAGAUAUCAGCAACGUUACCAGUCUCUUUCUGGAUACCAUUAGCUCCUUGGUUCUUGUGAUGAGAUUCACAGAGAGAAUUCAGGUAAGAUGCACAGAGCACAGUGUAGAAGAGGAGCAGUUUAUUCUAAGGUGGAAAAAGCUCUCAAAGAAUCAGAGUAGAUGGCCAAAGAGCACAUUGCAGAGCAGAGUACAUUCCCAAAGGGGUGAAAGUAGGGGUAGAAAGGGGCAGUGGUAGGAGAGAGUCCAGUAUCAAGAGGUGAGUAUAGUCAGUGACCAACGGGGGCAUUUCAAAGGAGAGUGGAGUCUCAACAGGUAAUAGACAGGCUUUAUACUAUUUCUAUAGUGUCAAAAAUGAGAUUCAAUUGCAUUAAUUCUUAGAGGAAGGAUCACUGGUAUGUUGUUUUCUGGCACUGUUUCUGGAAAGAUUUGGACAAACAUCCACAUAUGAUAUAUGCCAAAUCAAUAGUAGACCAAAUUAAAGAUACUUCCAAAAGUCAAA